UCUAAAUUUCUUAAAUAUACAAGCGAUGAAAUUGAGAAAAAAGUAAACUCGUAAUUUUCCACCAAAAAACAUAAACCCGUGAUUUUCCUGCCAAAAAUUUAAACCCGUGAUUUUUCCCCCAAAAACGUAACCCGAGAUUUUUCUGCCAAAAAUAUAAACCCGUGAUUUUUCUGUCAAAAACUUAAACCCGUGAUUUUCCCGCCAAAAACGUAAACCCGAGAUUUUUCCGCCAAAAACGUAAAUCCAUAAUUUUUCCGCCAAAAACGUAAACUCAUAAUUUUCCCGCCAAAAAACAUAAACCCGUAAUUUUCCCGCCAAAAACGUAAACCCAUGAUUUUUCCGCCAAAAACGUAAACCCGUGAUUUUCCCGCCAAAAACGUAAAUCCGUGAUUUUCCCGCCAAAAACGUAAACCUAAGAUUUUCCCGCCAAAAACGUAAACUCGUAAUUUUCCCGCCAAAAACGUAAAUCUUUUAAACACCGUGAUUUUCCCGCCAAAAAUGUAAAUCCGUGAUUUUCCCGCCAAAAACGUAAACCCGAGAUUUUCCCGCCAAAAAUGUAAACCCGUAAUUUUCCGCCAAAAACGUAAACCCGUGAUUUUCCCGCCAAAAACGUAAAUCCGUAAAAAGUGGAAUCCGUAAAUAUCCUAAGUUUGAUGAUAAUGAAUUAAUAAUGAUAAUUAUUUAUUAUUGUUUUAUAAUAGUAAUUA
rnacentral:sRNA from 1 species